ACGGGCGGGUGCGCGGCCGCUUUGUUCUUAAGUAUUGGACAAAGAGGAAAGUCCGAACUUUACCCGCGCUUUGCGCGGAAAACGGUAGCAGGCAAUUCCUGCAGGACGAAAGUCUAAAGGUGCGAGCAGAGACGCUCUUGCCGGAAACGGCGGAGUAUCCUUUAACGGGAUAAGUUUCCGCAGUAAUGCGGAAAGUGAAACGGCUAAACCCUUACCGGAAUGCAAGGCUGAAGUAUGGCCGCUUGACCGUUAAAAGCGAUUUUAACGGCAGAGAAAUGGCCGCGCUUUUAAAAAGGAAACUUUUUAAAAGACAGAAUUCGGUGUAUAGCCCGCCUUAAAAA
rnacentral:RNase_P_RNA from 1 species